AAACUGUUUUUUCAUGAUUUGAAAUCAUGUUUUGGAUUUAAUUCCGCAGUUUU
rnacentral:tRNA from 1 species